rnacentral:lncRNA from 1 species
GAAAAUAUCCCGAGGCAACAAACGCAGGGCAACACAGCGAAGGACAAAGCGGUGGCAGACACAUGCCACACGCGAAGGGCAAGCGACGGCGGCGGCACGGACACAAGAUUCUGUCAAGCGUCGAUCCCCUCUGGUGGCCACGUCUCACCAGUAUUUUUCUUCCUCCAUGUCUCAACUAGUGCGUUUAGGGUUCUUCGUUCUUGCGUCUCUUCUUGGAUCUAGUAGAAUGGAGUAGCCCUGGGUCUAUGGCCGUGCGGAUAGGGCGGCUCUCCGAGAUGUAGCGGACGGAGGCCGUGGCAGGGACCAACGGCGUCCAGAUGCAAUGCGUGAUUGGAUCCGUGUGGUUCACAUCCUGUAUAAUUUGUUGAGAUCCUGUCACUUUGGUAAUUGCAAUUAUUGAUGGAGAGAGUAACAAAAAUGGUUAAAAGUUAGAACACAAACGUAGUGUGCUAGUCUGCUAUUGAAGAAGUUAAUGUUUUUGUGAGAUGGGACACAAAUGGACUGUUAUGAACUUGCAAAUGAAUUGUUACCUGCAAGGACAAAUCAACUUCGUUACUACUGUAACUUGCGAUGAAAUUUCUACUGAGCACUGUAAUCUAGCAGUUGAGCACCUCUACACAGUCAUGUUGACUUGCGCUGGAGCAAAACUUUGAAUGUUCACCUCAAGAGUUUAUAGUUGUUGACAUAUAUUCACAAUGGUAUUUUUUUAUUUUUAUGACAGGUACAAGGGUCAAGUCAUGCAUGAAGUAGCUCGAGUCUUUAGAGAAAAAAUGUCUUUUCUAUUUAUAUUAUAUAAGUUUCAUUCUAAUUAAUGUAUUGAAGACAUUUUCUAAAUUAUUUUUAUGUACUUGUUCUGUCAAAGAGAGGUGCAUCAUUAUAUGGAUCCAUGAUCUCGUCAUGGUCAUCACACUAGUGAUGUAGUCUUUUGCAACUUAUUAGUGUCAAC